GCUCCUACGUGGAAAACUUCAGAAACAUUUCAUUAUUUUCUCGGUCGGGGAGGGCUAAUUACUAACCCCGAUCGGUAGAAAGAGCAUCAGACUAUACAUCCAAGAGGCCUGGCUCUUCCAAAACGCAGCAUCCCAGGAGUCUACAGCUCCGGCCGCCGGCACAGCUCCUCCCCCUUCCUCUACAAAGGGGUCCUGGGGAUGCACGUUCUUGCAGCCUCUCAAAGGCCGCAAUUCAAGCAACGAUUCAAAAUCGACAUUCUUUUGAAAAGAACCUUUCCCGAGGCCCGAUGUCCCUGGGAUGCAAGCAGAGGGUCGCCGCCCGCGCCGGCCCUACAGGGCCUACCCUGGCCCAGGCCCUUUCUGGACGCGACCCUCAAUCCGGCGCCCCGAGAGCCAAAAGCCGCCUCUAAGUCACCCUUCCGGAGUCCUUCUCACUGCGCCAGUUUGAUCCAGGAGGUGACAACCACCCCUGCCCACCUGGCCUCCCCAAACUGCUCCAGUGUCCACAACAGCCACAGAGAACCCCUGGUCACUGACCUAAGAUCGUCAUCUCUCCAGCCAUCACAGUCCCGCCGGAGGGGCUUGGGAUGACUGUACCAGACGUGAGGUGCCGCCCCCACGCCGCCUCCCAGCCCCGAGGCCUGCUGGGUAACGUAGUUCUCUUGCUCCAACGCUGUUCGAGAAGCUACAUCUCUGACCAGAGAAGGGACUUCAUUUACCGUCAGGUCGCGGGGCUGAGCGCCUCCAUUCAACCGCUGCCAGUGUCGUCGGAGCCGCCCUCCCACGCCCGGACUACGGAGCCAAUGAGGCUGAGGUGGAGGAGAGCCAAGGAGGGAGCCUGGACUUUAUAAUCAGACCUGAAGCGCCUGGAGCCAAGUUGAGGCUAUGAAGGAGCAAACUGCCAUGUUGUACAGAGGAUCAUGGCCUGCAACCUUCAGUGUCUAAGAGUGGCUCCCAGGCAAUAUCCAGCAAGAAAGCAGGAACCUCAGUCUUACAACCGCAAGCAACUGAAUUCUGCCAAUAGCCAUGAGCUUGGAAUAGGACCCUGAGCCCCAGCAUUUUGAACUCAGACUGCUCCAAGCAAGUGCACUUUCUGUUACAGAAACAACUGAAGGCUGUCAGCACUGUGUCUGUCUGUGAUGUACAGCAGAUAAGUUUGAGCCCAGUGACCUGCCACUUCCUCCUUUGGUCGGGAUAUGGCUUCACAUCUACAUGGAGGACCAGAGACCUCACCCAAAUGGACCAGAAACCCUCUAGACUAGCCCUGACAGCAGGCAGAAGUCCUGUGGGUUUUAGAACCAAGAGAGCUUCCCGGAACCUAUAGAGAAAUCCAGUGACUGCCCCCAACUCACAUGUAAACUCCCAUAUAAAAACAGCCAGAUGGUUGUCCCAGAACUAGGCAUCCCAUAACUUGAUUAGAGGAGCCACAAGAGAGAUCAGCAUAAUAUUAGAGUGAAAAUAAGGUAUGAUUCUCCUCCUACAGCCUUCCUGCAAUGUUUCAUGACCAAUCACCAUUUUUGUUAGAAAUGCUCAUUUAGAUGUUCAGUCUGAUUCCAACUUUUUUUUCACUCAGCCACAUUCUGUUCCCUAGCCAGAUGUAGAAAGAGACAUGCUCUGUGAACAGAGUGAUAAGUAAAUUGAUUUCAUAUUUCUAACAUCAGAUUAUAC